rnacentral:piRNA from 1 species
CCCUCUGAUUGGUAGUGUAACUU